CUUCCAGCCCCAAACAAUCCCAUCCCUCCUCUCAAUUCGCUUCACUUGGGAACGUCGUUGUAAUUAUUGCAUGAACCGGGUAGCGUCGAGAGGGGUCGAUUGCUUGAAUUGAUGCCAUGGAAAUUGGUAGUGCUACGAAUCAACAAACCGACGUCAGUCAUUUUGUUUCUUUUUUCCCACAGCUUUUCCUUUUUACUGCUGAUUAUUCCUUGCCUUUCCCUUUGCUCAAAGUAAAAAUGCCAAACCAGUUCUUUCUUUGGCCCUGCCUCUCUCCUUCUUUGCUUCAGAAUUCAGAUGCACACUGCCAAUCUCCACAACGCAACGCAGCCACAGCGAACAGGCUAGCGAUAGGAAAACAGAAUAGUAUUGUUUUAACGCAAGAACAUGACAGCAUUUCAUUCACAAUAAUGUACCAGCUGGUGCUUCUUGAUGUAUUUUGCAGAAGUCCCAUUGUCAUUUGCAAGAAGACCAAGGGCAUGUCCAGUUAUGCACUUAAUAUAUUUAGCAACUAUUGAUUCAGCAGAGAAACAUGACCCUCCAAAACGUAAUGUUAGAUAGUUUCAAAUUACCUGCAUUGCAUGGCGAUGGAGCUGAAUUGUGUGAAGGGGAACAAUACCAGCCCGACAGCCCCAAUACACUUGGAUAAUAAUUGUGUCAGAACUCAGAAAACAGAUGUCUCUUAAUCCUUUGUACUAUUAAUAGCAUGAAAAAAAUUGCGACACCCAAAUCUCUCUUGAGCACACAAUUUUCAUCCAUACAUGUUUUGAGUUCAGUUCCCAUAUCAACCUUCACCAAGCACUGUUUUUCAUAUAAUCAUAAAAUAUUUAACCUCAAGCACUGUUUUUGUUACAUUUAACUGAUCAUGCAGCACAGUUAAUUUUUCUCUUGCCUUCUUCAAAUUCACUAAUCUGAGUUUUGACCAUAAGUUUUGACCAUUUUCCUGCUGUUUCUGUCCUAUAGUUUUUAUGACCAUAUAUUUUACCUGGUAAUGCAGUUUCAGUGACCCAUGUUAUUUAAACCCAAAUGAUUUCCCCAUGUUAAGUUAAUUCUCUGCUGAUCUGAAUCUCGUUUGGUUAUCUGCUUCAAUGUGCAUCCCCAUUCUGAUCUUUUUCUUAGGUUGCUCAUCAUCAUUUUCAUCCACUAUUAAACGGCCUCUCUUCUGGCCAAGACACCCAAAUCUCUCUUCAGCACACAAUUUUGAUCCAUACAUGUUUUGAGUUCAGUUCCCAUAUCAACCUUCACCAAGCACUGUUUUUCAUAUAAUCAUAAAAUAUUUAACCUCAAGCACUGUUUUUGUUACAUUUAACUGAUCAUGCAACACAAUUAAUAUUUCUCUUGCCUUCUCCAAAUCUCGGAUGGCCUACACAUUUCAAGGAACACAUUAAAUUCACUAAUCCGAGUUUUGACCGUAAGUUUUGACCAUUGUCCUGCAGUUUCUGUCCUAUAGUUUUUAUGACCAUAUAUUUUACCUGGUAAUGCAGUUUUAGUGACCCAUGUUAUUUAAACCCAAAUGAUUUCCCCAUGUUAAAUUAAUUCUCUGCUGAUCUAAAUCUCAUUUGUUUAUCUGCUUCAAUGUGCAUCCCCAUUCUGAUCUUUUUCUUAGGCUGCUCAUCAUCAUUUUCAUCCACUAUUAACUGACCUCUCUUCUGGCCAAGACACCCAAAUCUCUCUUCAGCACACAAUAAAGCAGGAGCUGUUCAAGAACGCUGGCUAUGUCGAAGGCUGUUUGUAGAGGGCCAUGGCAUCAUGGCAUGGGAGGAAGAAGAAGAGGAUGCAACAAUAAAUUAAUCUUAAGUAGCGGUGGAAGCAACAACAGUAGUAUCAGUUCAGGUCCAGUAGCGGAAAAGGCAGGCAGGGCAAAGAUUUGGGAGGCCUUUUCAAUCCAUCUCCCCCAUCAUAACCCACUUUGAUCUAUCCAUGUUAGCAGUACAUGUUCGUCCAUCCUAUAGCAUCAUGCAGGAUGCAAAGGUUUCCCUGUGCUGCUGAAUCUUUCUCCUAUAUCUCUACUAUUCUAUAAGAGUAUAUACUACUGAGCAUGCUUUAAUUUUUCUCCAUUGUUACUACAAUAUAGACUACUGAACAUGCUUUCAUUUUUUCUGCAGGGUUCUAUAUUCAUAAGCAUGUUGUUGCACCACACAACCUUUUUGUUUUAUAUGUUGUCAUCUGAUCUCUGGUGAAAAGGAGGGAGAUGAGCUACGGAGGAAAUCUGAUGUUAUGGAAUUCUAAGAAAAGUCUAGAUUUCCACAGGUCCAGUGGUGCCACUGAUGUCAAGUCAGCAGAAACGAUUCUUGAGCAUGAGUAUGCGUCGAUGCUCUUUUUCCCUGAGGCAAUGCUACUCCUAUGCACAGUGAUGUAGUAGCAACGGAGAACUGUCAUUAAUUGGAUACUUCUUAUCCUAAUUGCAGUCGUAUCAUUUAGCUUGGGGUUUGAAUUAUCGGAUUGCCCUACCAUACUGCUUAGCUAAAGCCCUUGUCAAAAUGCAUAAUUAGAAGCAACUAUUAAAGAAAGAUCAGCUUCAGAUAGAGUGAAGACGCGAGUGCAUUUUCCAGGGAUGGAAAGAAGGCAUGAUUUAUUUUCCUCCGACAUAUAAAUACUCAUUCAACUCGGAUCGUUACUCUGGUGUGCGGCCCAAAUAAAAUCGGAGGACACAUGCUUGGUGCGAUCACAUUCCGUGGCCUCUUGCAGUCGUCCUACAUCCGCGGAGAGUCUCGCUUCUUUGACCACGGACCAGUGUACAAUCUUUUCAUGGCUAAGGUUGGGAGUGUCCACCACAGAAGAUCGAACUUAACCUUGAUCAUGAUCUCUAGCGCUGAGGGAACAGUGAUAGAUUGAUAUGAGGUUUGUAGGUGUAAUUAUGUGUAUAAUAACCUUUUUUUUAUUUUCCUUGCCCCUAUGGUGUAGUACCUGAAAAGCAAAAUGAUGUAUGUAUUUGUUGUUAAAUACUUUUCUAAUUCUAACAGUAAGAAAUUAAGGUUGUGCCGAUGCACACUGCCAA